rnacentral:rRNA from 1 species
GCUAACUCCGUGCGAGCAGGCGCGGUAAUACGUAGGAUCCAAGUGUUAUCCGGAUUUAUUGGGUUUAAAGGGAGAGUAGGUUGACAUAUAAGUCAGCUGUGAAAGUUUACGGCGCAACCGUGAAAUUGCAGUUGAUACUGUAUGGCUUGAGUGUACAAGAGGUGGGCGGAAUUCGUGGUGUAGCGGUGAAAUGCUUAGAUAUCACGAAGAACUCCAAUUGCGAAGGCAGCUCACUGGGGUACAACUGACACUGAGGCUCGAAAGUGUGGGUAUCAAACAGGAUUAGAUACCCCAGUAGUC